rnacentral:rRNA from 1 species
GAUGAACGCUGGCGCCGUGCCUAAUACAUGCAAGUCGAGCGAACGGACGAGAAGCUUGCUUCUCUGAUGUUAGCGGCGGACGGGUGAGUAACACGUGGAUAACCUACCUAUAAGACUGGGAUAACUUCGGGAAACCGAGCUAAUACCGGAUAAUAUUUUGAACCGCAUGGUUCAAAAGUGAAAGACGGUCUUGCUGUCACUUAUAGAUGGAUCCGCGCUGCAUUAGCUAGUUGGUAAGGUAACGGCUUACCAAGGCAACGAUGCAUAGCCGACCUGAGAGGGUGAUCGGCCACACUGGAACUGAGACACGGUCCAGACUCCUACGGGAGGCAGCAGUAGGGAAUCUUCCGCAAUGGGCGAAAGCCUGACGGAGCAACGCCGCGUGAGUGAUGAAGGUCUUCGGAUCGUAAAACUCUGUUAUUAGGGAAGAACAUAUGUGUAAGUAACUGUGCACAUCUUGACGGUACCUAAUCAGAAAGCCACGGCUAACUACGUG